CCCGUGGGCUUUAGCAAACUUUUUCAUUCUUCACCCGGUCCUUAGUAGCCUUUCCAAAGUCAACCUAACCGCUUACCUUUGGAAAGGUGCUAAAUAGGCCUUCGCCCUUACGCCUUUCUAUAUAAUAGAAGAAAAUUAGAUAGUUGUAUAUAGAAUUAGCCAGAUUGUCUGAAGCAUGAACAGAAUUGCCUUUGUUCUGAAGGCCUAGCGAGUUCCUUUUUUUUUUUCAAAGGCGGUCCUUUUCUUUCCUCGGACCGAUGACUCGCUUGUUCAGUACCCCCUUGGGACUACCAGUAGCUUCGAUUGUUGAAUCUCGUGCAAGUUAGGUUGUGGUUGUAUUGGCUGCAAGUGGAACGUAGGCACUUUAGGUGUGUGUUGACCAUGCACUCUCGCUUCGUGUAAUGUCGUAUGUAUGAUAGAGGUAGUAUGGUGAUUGACCUCAAUGCUAAUGGUGAUCCCCAAGGUUCAACGAAUGAAUGAAGCUAUGAUCAUACCCGGAUAGAGAUGGUGGUCUUCCUCUGAUGUCUCCAAGCCGGCCAUAAUAGAAUAGAUAGGCGAAGCAGUCAAUAGCAGUCUGUUCUCGCCUAUCGAUAGAUAGCAGGUUGCUUCCAAGCUCAAACCAUUUGAAACUGAAUUGCUACUUUUUUCUUGUUAUUGAUAGAGUGGUAUUCUCCGCCCCUGUCAAAUAAAGUAGAGGGGGAGAACUAGAAGAGAGAAAGAAAAAGAGCAAAGGAUUGACAAGUCUAACGGGGGAAGAAUGGCUGACACGUUGACUGCCUUCGAUAGACGAAAAAAAACCCAAGCGGUCUAACCUAACCCCCAGGGUGGACCCUAAUCGAAAGGCGCUAGACAGACUAAGGGAAAGCGAGAUAAAGAAAGUAGCUGGCCCUAUGUGUAAAACCUUGCCGCGGGAGAGUCUUUCUCCAAUGAGAAUAAAGAAAGUUUUUGGGCAAGACAAGAAAGGAACUCGCCCUUUGAUACCAAGGGAUAAGAGCUGAUUGUUGGCGAUGACUUGGUGAAGGGAAUCUAUGAGAGAAGGUUCUCGAACUGGGUUACGACCAACGCGGAACCAACAAGUUCAGUCAAAUAAGGUAACGAGUCUAAGAGAAGGAUCAAGCUUGAAAGGAAUGGACGGGCGUAGGCUUAAUAGUGAACGCAGACCCACCUGCAACUAGAUAUGAGAUCAAUGACAACAAUAAAAGAAAGAUGUCGAGAGAAAGUCUUAGCCCAACAAAUGCGUUGCGAAGAGAGAUCGAAGACGAAGAUUUUCUGACACAGUGCGGGCACUAGAUGGAAAAGACAGAUAAAGGAACAACCCACCGGAAGGGCAUACCUCAAGGGGUACCAAUCUCCCCCGGCAAAGAUCUAUCUGCAUGAAGCCGAUCUAUGGAUAGAAAGAAAGAUGCAGGAAAGGAAAAUGAAAGAAGAAAUCCAAAUUUGCUUUGGGAGUGUGAGAUAGGCAGACGGGGAGUACGCAGCCGAACAACCGCUGGGGUUUCCAGCAGUGAUAGCUGAACUAAUCAGAUGGGCCGCCCCAAACCUGGAGCUGUUAUUUAAAUCGGAAAUCAACAUCGGGUCCCGGCUAUUCGAAAAACACAGACUGAAGCGGAAGAUCACAAAAUGCAACACAACAAGGGGGUCGUUAGACCGUAGCUUGUGCGAAGAAAGAAGCUAAUCAAUCAGAAUUGAGACAGGGAGGAUAGGCAAAAGAGAGAUUUUCGAGCCUGCAAGCAGCAAGCAACAACGGCUUUUCAGCCGUUGCGUGCUAGCUUGUAGUUUAGGGGUAUAGUAGGGGUGCCCCUUUCUCAAACUUUUCUAUAAUAUAAGGCAAGCUUUUUGGAACCCUAGUUUUGGAGUUUUCCCCAACCAACCUAUACCUUACUAAUAAAAAGGGGCUUCUCUUUUUCAGCUGCAUUGCACUGCUGCAUAAACAAUGGAUCCACUGGGCUGGAUGAGCAACCUUCUAUCUGGCCUCUGUACCAAUAGUAGAGUGGCUUGAUACUUUCAAUCAGAAAAGGAAUAUUGAGCAAGUCAAAGGAGAAAGGAGUUGUCCCCCCUUCUCUGGUAACCCGCCGCCGCAUAUGUCGAAAAAGAAGGAGCGGAGAAGGAAGAACAACCGUUUGACUUUGGCACAUGAGGUGGCGGGUUUGGCUAGGUAACAUAAUGGAAAUGUAUCGGACUGCAAAUCCUGGAAUGACGGUUCGACCCCGUCCUUGGCCUCGAGGAGUGGUGAGCAGCACGGAACUUGUUUCAAUCAAAUGGCAUAGUAUUAGGGUAGGAGGCUUUCCUUUGUUAUAGAAAUCCACAGACAAGAUUCUGGAACUUCCAAACCAAAGAAAUGCAAGAUGAGAAGGAGCUUUUUACGUUACGCUUCAAUAGAAUGAAUUCGGUAAGGGUAGAAUAGGCCCUAUGGUCGAUCGAAGGUGCUGUGCCACUUGAACUCAAAUCUAUCUGACCUUCAAUCCAUCUUUGUCCAGCCAGAUCAUAACAAAAUGUUAGACCAAGGUUGACACAACCGAAUUGGUUGAGGAAAAGGAACCCCCAGCGACCAAGCACUCCCGCCCCCAAAAGUGGAGACCGAAGAACCUUAAGGUUGUCGAGGACACGUCUGAAGAGGAGGCGGGUGCCCUCUAAGUUGACCACCCUACUAACUAAUAGACUAUGAGGGGGGGGGGAAGGCGAACGGGAACCGAUCGAAAACCCGAACCGCUUGACUGACCCCUUCAUAGUCCAUUCAUUAAGGUUGGGGAUGGAUGGAACUAAUCAGAAGUGCAAAUCGCGCAAGCGACGCCGGGAAACGGACCGCAGCGCAACAACUAGGACUCGUGUCAGAGGAGUUUUGAGCGUGAGACAACACUCAUGCAGCGGCAAGGACCCGCAACUCUCGAAGGGGCCACCAACCACCCGAAUCACUGUAGCAAACUCUCUCUUUACUCAAUGGAUAACGCUUAUUCUCUUUCAAUCAACAAAAUGAGAAAUGGAAAAAAGAGGUCUUUAUUGAAGAGGCUUUGUACCUAAAAUAGGACUAAUGCAGAUCCAGAAGAAUGGUCUGGGCUUUCAAAAAGAUGAAGAUGCAAGGGAUAAAGAGACAGUCUUUUGAACAACCAAGCUGACAUAAGGAUUCUAGCUCGCGCCCACUUAGAGCAGAUAGAGAUUCUCAGACAGGGAAAAGCGGCACUCGACAUCUAUUAAACAAGACCAAGAACAAAGCCAUACCAUGCCCUUGGGAGAAAGUAGUGAUGAUUGCCAUAAAUGCUGCCCUCGAGGACGUGUACAAGAAGGUCUUUGCCAAUUCCUAUCAACAUGGUGCAUCUCUUAGUAGAGGGGCGUGAAAAGUGGAGACUUUGACCGUAGGGAUCAAUUGAUAGACAUUUUUCUUGAGGAAGAGAAUCCAGGAUGAACGCUUUUUUCAUUCGCUAUGCGCUGAUUGGAUGCGUACUCACGUGAUCAAUCGAUGGAUGGGGGAAUUGCAUGAAUGAUGAGACCGGCCUAACCUAAAGUCAAGGCUCUUCCCACUCUUGAUGGUGAAUCUUGAUUGACUGACACUAGGAACCGAUUCGGAGAAAGAAGAAGCAUGGCAUGAGAUAGGCGGCGGAGAAAUUUCCAAUAGUGAAUUACUUGACUCGAUGGAUGGAGGGAGAGCCCUCCAACUCAAGCACAAAAUCAAUAUUGAGUCAACAAUCAUCGACAGGGGUACCACCAAGCGAGAUCGAGACCAGCCCCUUGUAUAGGUAUAGGGUUCCAAACCUACGCUUCUUCAAAUAUACCAUAAAUCUAAAUAAAGUAGGGACUUCAAAGCUUGACUAAAGAGGGAGAAAGUUGACUUUGAGAAAGAAAAGGGGCGCCCUAGCUGCAAUCAAAAAAGAGCGCUAACGAGCAAGAAAGGGCCCCUUACUAUAGAUAGGGCCUUAGCGCUUUACUAAUAACAAACAUAUAUAGGGCUGACUUUUUUCAGCUUGAUCGGAAUUGAUUCUAUGAUUGAAUAGCAGAAGUACUACUUAGUAGUAGAAACUUGGAGAGAAGUAGGUCCCUUGUUUUUGGCAGGAAGAGUUCCAGCCUUUGUUGCCCCUCGGUAGAGUGAGUCUACUUAGCGAACUGGUAGGGCGUGGAGAUCUAUUGAUCAAUAUGAAUCUCGAGAGUGAAUGGUUGAUCGCCGCCUCCUUGUCCUGGAGGCUCUCCGGCCGGGGAGGGGCUUGCUAUCGUAACCCUUUCUCCCAGUGUAUGUGAAAAAGAGUGAUGAACUCAUUUUUCUUCAGUCAUAGGUUAAAGAACGAGAGUCGGCUUCCAACAUUAAGUUUGUUGUUCCUCAGUAGCUCAGUGGUAGAGCGGUCAACUGUUAACCGAUUGGUCGUAGGUUCAAAUCCUACUUGGGGAGAUUUUUGAGUUAUCGCUUUUCUGACCUAGCGCUUGCCUCCGGUGGUGUCCUUCUCCUUUGUUUCUAAACUAGAAGAAUCGUGGGACAUCAAAGGCGGUAAGUUGAUUGUUGGUUUUUAUUCCUCACUCUCGUAUAGGAACACUUGGUUCGUUCCAUUCUUAGGGAAGGAUCCACUGGAAAGACUGGAGUAGUAUCUUCAUUAGCCGGAAGGAAUUAGUCUCCACUAGCGUCAUUCGAAGAACGAACAAGAAAAGGGUUACUGUUCAGGAUAGAUGGAUGUGGCCCAAUGGCUAAAGCUCUGCCAGCUUCUUGUAGACUGAACUCUCUUCUCUUUAGGCUCCGAGUUCUUUUUAGGGGGGAUGGUCUAAUUUACUUGUGGCAACAAAGUUCUUAAAUGACUAGAUUCUCCCAGAACGCUAGCUAAGCUAAUCAUCUUAGUUCCCUUCAAUUAAAUCAAUAAGCUUUUUGAUUGAUUCAGGCCGCCACCCCCUUCUUAGAAUUAGAACCCAUUGAGGGGGUCCUCGGCCCGGGAAGGGGAGAGUGGCCGAAUGGUUAAAAGUGGCAGACUGUAAAUCUGUUGAAGUUUUUCUACAUAGGUUCGAAUCCUGCCUCUCCCACUUGUUUAUUGUAGACUUCAGAGAAGAGAAAAGAGGCAUUCGUCAGCGUAGGAAGGCCAACCUAGCGAAGCUCUUUCUUUUUUUUGGCCGUGCCGUGAAGUGAAAUUGUAUCGUAUGUUAGUUAGAGAGGUUGGCAAAAUACUACGCUCUAUAGAUUUCCCAUCUAUAUCUAAUCCCAACAAGAAUAGAAGCGAGUCACUUCUGGCCUAUCUUGUAGUCAUAGUCUUUUAGCUUAUGUAGUCGUCGGCCUUCCUACACGCAUGCGUCCGCCAGAAUGCCUCCUUGGUUUGGGACGAAGCCAAGCCGAUACAUAAGAUAGGCGAAGGAAAGACCCACAUUUCAUAGUGCCUGAGGAACGCAAGUUUGAUCGAGGAUUGGAGAGGAGAGAUGGAAGAAAGGGCUCGGGAUGGAUUUAGGAGUCUUUGUGCGAGCCGUAUGUGGUGAGAGUCACACGUAUGGUAACGAGGGGGGUUCGCGUCUAUACGUGUAGUGUGGUGCUUUGGCCUACCCACCCUAUUUGUUCCAUGAUCUAUGGGUCUACUGGAGCUACCCACUUUGAUCAAUUAGCCAAGAUUUUGACCGGAUAUGAAAUCACUGGUGCUCAAUCUAGUGGUAUUUUUAUGGGGAUUUUAUUUAUCGCUGUAGGAUCCCUAUUCAAGAUCACUGCAGUUCCUUUUCGGGCGGCUGUAGGAUGGACGCCUAUAGGUGGUAGGGUAGGGUGGGUGGUACCGCUCUGCGGCCAAUCUCCUAACCGCUUAGGGCCGGGCUUAGAGCGCGUGAAACUCAUCACUACCUCAUAAGGGCAUUGAGACCAUAAUAUGUUACACGAAAGCGCCGCUUUCUCUGUAGUGUUGUCACACAGCUGCCCGCCUAGAAGAGUAACUCGCUUUGUAGUGUUGUCACACAAGAUAAGCACGCCGUCCUCCUGCUUGCCGGGCGAAUCGAAGUUAUCUUUUGGUCAACUGUCCACCGAGUCAAGUGCAAAAAACACAGUAGAAUCAUGCAACGCACGCUGCUGGUGUGCUUCUUGCUUGUGAGGAAAGAAAGAAGAGCGAUAGGGUUCAGUUCAGAUUUGACUGUUUGCAGCAUGGGAGCAGAUUCCCCAAAAAAUCCCUGGGAACAAUGAAAAAGAAAAGAUAUCUCGGUAACGAAAACUAUAGGGGGCUGUAUUGGCGAGAUCCAACGGUGAACAGCUGCCCAAAAGAAAAACCACCUGGAAGUCCGAGGACCUUUAGUACCGUACUCUACCCCCGAACCAGCAGCCUUCACGCCAAGCAAGACCGCCCUUGUCCCUUUUCUUUCUCCAUUCCGCCUCUUUCUUUGCUUUGUUCCAAUAGAGUCUAAGGCAAGGUGGUUCGUAUGCCUACUUUACCUACUUGAUGAAAGGGAACGAACAAUGUUUCAUUUUCGGGUUUAUGGAUUGGAUUCAGUCAGCCUCACAACAUAAUCAGAGUGAGGCUUUGGUUAUCGGCAAACGCUUCUCCAAAGGCGACCCUCUCAAGUUUUUGACUGUUUUCAUCAUUGAAGUAUUCGUCGCCCUACCAAACGAAAGAAGUCACUAUCAAACUGCUCGCCCUAUUGAAGUACCAAAGGUGCGCUCAGCCCGGUGACUAGGAAAUGGGUUUGCCCUUGAAUUGAAGUGAUGAGGUCGGAAAGAGGGAAGUAGGGCUCCUAUUGACUAAAGGUUGGUUCUUCGCUUUCCUUUAGAAUGAAAGUAGCUAUGAAGCCCCUCUCCUUACAGUGGCUGAACGCCCCUAAUACUUACUUUGUUUAAUUCAAAAGGCGAACAACCCCCCAACUAGUUGUAUGGGGUGGGGUGCUUGUGAAAAGCUGCUUUGGAUAUGAGUAAUUCCUAAAAAAAGGCUUUGUCCGGUAUUUGACAAAGAUCUUUCUAUCAAUAGAUAGGAAUGAGUGUUCGAUAUAGGGGAUAGGAUCCAUCUGCUCUUUAAUCUCAUAAUUUUUUUGUGAGAAAUAUAUAUAUAUAUCGUUUAUCUAUCUCUUGUCUAUCUAUCAUUAAUUCUCAAGUCCAAUUUUUGGGUUCCCCGAAGCCCCGAAUAGAAUGGAUCGUUUCUGCCAACGAAAUGAACGCGAGCCCGUUCCGAAUGCUUCUACGAUCCGGAAGUUCUCACGAAGAGAAUAAGAUGCUGCUCCCCUUCCCUCUUUCUUUUCCCGCUUAGCUAAUCUUCCCCUCUAAUGCGGGCCGGGCGGUGACGGGCGCGGGAGGAAGAAACCUAAGAGAAGACGCUCGUCUCGGGCGGUCCUUUUUUUCAGUGUAACACAGAAAAGCGCCCUCUUUUUGUCAUCCCUGCAGCUUUCCAGAUUUUGUAUUGAAUGCAUGGCGUAGCUAGGACCCUUCACAUUCUGUUUGAGCCUAUGUUAAAGCCAAACCCACCCCCUAUUUUACUAAGGCUGGAAAGAAUGCCCACCAAGUUUAGAUAAGGGAAUGCUUUCCCCAACCAUUAAAGUAAAGGUUCGACGAAGGGAGGGAGGUGCGGCGGGGGAAGGAAAACGCUUUCGUAGAUCAAGUUUUUUUUUUUCAUCGAAAAUGAAGAAGGCUGAAGAUGGCCGUAGGUGCAUCUUAUCUGAAGGGAACACGCUUUUUUGACAGCCGUGGUAUGAUUGUCGGGCCCUCCUUCUUACAGUGGCUUUCAGCUCCUCUCCUCGUUCUGCCCUUCCUAUUGGGAUAGCAGCCUUCGGGUUUUGCCUGCCCUUUCUAAUAAGAAAUUCUGGCUCAGCCUGGGAAAGCGAUGGCAAUAACUGAAAGGAAGGGGUCCAUGUAGCUGCUGUGUCCUCCCCCUUCUUAGUCAAUGGGGCACAGCAGGUUCGGCAUCUACUACAAAAGAGAGAAUCCACUUCAGAUAACCACGUCUCUGCUAGGCAGCGUGUGGAAUGGCCGAGAGCGGACCUUUUUGGAUAUAUAAUCCAAGUCGAGAGUAGAGUUACAGGAAAAGCCGUCUGAUGGAAAACGACUUUCAUGUUCGGUUCAGAGAGCACUUUUUUCGUUGAGAAUUCCUCAUUCCCUUUCGUGUGAAUUCCCCAGCGGUGAAUUUCAAACUUGUGGGGCCCUAUCUAUUCCAUCUCUCGAGCCCCGAAGAAAACCCCUACCCUUCGGACUCCAUUAUAUCUUUUGACUCUAUAUAUGUGGGCACCUGAUAUCUAUGAGGGUUCACCCACCCCGGUUACAGCAUUCCUUUCUAUUGCGCCUAAAAUCUCUAUUUCUGCUAAUAUUUCACGUGUUUCUAUUUAUGGUUCUUAUGGAGCUACAUUGCAACAAAUCUUCUUUUUCUGCAGCAUUGCUUCUAUGAUCUUAGGAGCACUGGCCGCCAUGGCCCAAACGAAAGUAAAAAGACUUCUAGCUCAUAGUUCAAUUGGACAUGUAGGUUAUAUUCGUACUGGUUUCUCAUGUGGAACCAUAGAAGGAAUUCAAUCACUACUAAUUGGUAUCUUUAUUUAUGCAUCAAUGACGAUAGAUGCAUUCGCCAUAGUUUUAGCAUUACGGCAAACCCGUGUCAAAUAUAUAGCUGAUUUGGGCGCUCUAGCCAAAACGAAUCCUAUUUUGGCUAUUACCUUCUCCAUUACUAUGUUCUCAUACGCAGGAAUACCCCCGUUAGCCGGCUUUUGUAGCAAAUUCUAUUUGUUCUUCGCCACUUUGGGUUGUGGGGCUUAUUUCCUAGCCCCAGUGGGAGUAGUGAC
rnacentral:lncRNA from 1 species